AAUCACAUCAUGGAUGCGCUUAUUACAGAGUUGAUAGAACUCUGAAGUCAUCCUGGCAUUUAGGAGUCAUAGGGAUAAAUUAUACGGUAACCAUAGUCCAAGGGUUCUUGCAUGUUGCUUUGCAAUCAUUCGAUCUAUCCGAACGUCGGAUACCAUUACUAGAUGGUCAUUUCGAUUAGUACAAGAAGUUAUUCUUGUGCUACCGGCUUAGGUUCGAACCUAUGGGGUCACAUGCAUAGAAGUUUCUAGGUUGAUCAAAUGGCUGAUUGAUGAUUAAGAAUCAUUCAGGGGUAAUUUGGUCAAUUCGAUUGACAAAUUA
rnacentral:lncRNA from 1 species